rnacentral:snRNA from 1 species
AUACUUACCUGGCAGGGGAGACACCAUGAUCAGGAAGGUGGUUUUCCCAGGGCGAGGCUCAUCCAUUGCACUGCAGGUGUGCUGACCCUGCGAUUUCCCCAAAUGUGGGAAAUUCGACUGCAUAAUUUGUGGUAGUGGGGGGCUGCGUUCGCUCUCUCCCCUG